UCGGAUUAGCUAGGUGGUGAGGUAAAGGCUCACCAAGGCAACGAUCCGUAGCUGGUUUGAGAGGAUGAUCAGCCACAUCGGGACUGAGACACGGCCCGAACUCCUACGGGAGGCAGCAGUGGGGAAUAUUGGACAAUGGGGGCAACCCUGAUCCAGCCAUGCCGCGUGUGUGAAGAAGGCCCUCGGGUUGUAAAGCACUUUCAGCGAGGAAGAACGCCUAGCGGUUAAUACCCGCUAGGAAAGACAUCACUCGCAGAAGAAGCACCGGCUAACUCCGUGCCAGCAGCCGCGGUAAUACGGAGGGUGCAAGCGUUAAUCGGAAUUACUGGGCGUAAAGCGCGCGUAGGUGGCUUGAUAAGCCGGUUGUGAAAGCCCCGGGCUCAACCUGGGAACGGCAUCCGGAACUGUCAAGCUAGAGUGCAGGAGAGGAAGGUAGAAUUCCCGGUGUAGCGGUGAAAUGCGUAGAGAUCGGGAGGAAUACCAGUGGCGAAGGCGGCCUUCUGGACUGACACUGACACUGAGGUGCGAAAGCGUGGGUAGCAAACAGGAUUAGAUACCCUGGUAGUCCACGCCGUAAACGAUGUCGACCAGCCGUUGGGUGCCUAGCGCACUUUGUGGCGAAGUUAACGCGAUAAGUCGACCGCCUGGGGAGUACGGCCGCAAGGUUAAAACUCAAAUGAAUUGACGGGGGCCCGCACAAGCGGUGGAGCAUGUGGUUUAAUUCGAUGCAACGCGAAGAACCUUACCUACUCUUGACAUCCUGCGAAUUCGGUAGAGAUACCUUAGUGCCUUCGGGAACGCAGAGACAGGUGCUGCAUGGCUGUCGUCAGCUCGUGUUGUGAAAUGUUGGGUUAAGUCCCGUAACGAGCGCAACCCUUGUCCUUAUUUGCCAGCGCGUAAUGGCGGGAACUCUAAGGAGACUGCCGGUGACAAACCGGAGGAAGGUGGGGACGACGUCAAGUCAUCAUGGCCCUUACGAGUAGGGCUACACACGUGCUACAAUGGUCGGUACAAAGGGUUGCGAGCUCGCGAGAGUCAGCCAAUCCCGAAAAGCCGAUCUCAGUCCGGAUCGGAGUCUGCAACUCGACUCCGUGAAGUCGGAAUCGCUAGUAAUCGUAGAUCAGAAUGCUACGGUGAAUACGUUCCCGGGCCUUGUACACACCGCCCGUCACACCAUGGGAGUGGACUGCACCAGAAGUGGUUAGCCUA
rnacentral:rRNA from 1 species